AUCUCCUCCUGUACGGCUGAGUUGCACAGAGGGGGUCUGACAAGAACCUGUAUCAAGGGGAAGGAUGUUGGUGUGUGCUGCUCAGACGCUGCAUGCUGCCUGUGUUUUGUUGGGGGAUUGCUUGUGGGAAGCUGGCUUUCGGCAGCUGACUCCUUAAGUCAUUGCUCAAAGACAGCCAAGAUCUCCAAGUAAGAGCUCGUACAGAUAGAGAAUGAAAAGUGCUUGCAAAGUGCCUUGUGCUUGGGUCUUCCUUGGCCUAGGAAAACCAGAAGCUCACGUUCCAGUUAGGAAAUUUCAGUACUAACCGGCCUCCCUCCCACACCUUUCCUGACAGGGUUAAGGUUAGAAAUGCAAGAAAGACGUACAUGCUUUCUCCAUGACGUGCUGCUCUUGUUCGAGCUGCCUGGGACCAAGAAGGAACAGCUGCUGCCUCCUAAGCAUCGCAAUACAAGAACAGACUUCAUCUCACAAGGAUAUUGCACUGGGGCCAAUUGGUGUGAAAAUUGCCACGUGUCGCUAACACCUCGCAGAACAGUCAGGUCCUUCGGUUCUUCAGGUAUCGCCCGGAUCAUCUCUGUGCAAAGCAACCUUUACGGAGCUCGGCGUAUCAACUGUGUGUAUUCGAGAGGUCAAGUCGACCUGGGUAAGAUUUGGACCGGUGGCUCCAGAGAGUCUACAGCGUGAAAACAUAAGGCUCAGGGAGGCAAAUUAGCCUUCCCUUUUAAAAAGAACUGAAGAUUAGAGGAGAUUAUAGAACCUAAUAGCGCGUACCUAAUUUUUGGGAGCACAGACCAUGACUGUGGCUGCUUGGUCAAAUCCAGUCUUGACUUGUCCAUAUGGCAAGGUGUGUGCUUCGGGCAGAGACAGAAGGAAACACCUAGGCUGCUGGCGUGGGGGUCUUCACCAGGAGGGUGGUCAGGCACUGGGACAGGCUCCCCAGGGACGUGGUCACAGCACUGAGCCUGACGGAGUUCAAGAGGCAUUUGCAGACGUUUUCAGAUGUAUGGUUUGAUUUUGGGGUGGUCCUGUGUGGAGUCACACUUGAUGAUCCUUGUGGGCCCCUUCCAAAUCAGGAUGUCCUAAGUGGUUUCCCUGGACUCCCGUUUACAUGAUCAAAUGAUGCAAACCCAGUCGAAGCAGCAUUUUUUUCCUGUAGACGGUGUGAUUUUGAGGGGCUUUCUAUUUAUUUAUUUGUCAAUUUAUUUUGCUGGGUGCUUGUCUUUUAGUCUUAACCAGCUGCAAUACGAAGAGGGCAGCAAAUUGCCCUGAACCCAGCGUGUUACCCUGAAGAACUUUCCUGAAUUCUCGCCGAACGUUUCUCUUUAUGCAACCAGCAAACCCUUCCAUCAGCUGGAAGCCUGCAUGGCAUUUGCUGCUCGUAUCCUUACCCGACCCAGGCACUCGGCAAACAUUCCUCCAGCAGGCUGUCAUGUUUCUCCGUGCCCCGAUCAAGCAGACGCUCACACAUUCCUUCCUCCGGCCAAGCUUCCUGCCGCUCUGAAAUAG
rnacentral:lncRNA from 1 species